rnacentral:lncRNA from 1 species
UUAUUAGUUUCUUAUUUUUUAAAAAAAAAUAACCAUUAUCCGUAAAGAAAAAAGUGUUUUUAAUUGUUCAUGCUACUGUGCUCAAUCCUCGCCUCUAUCCUUCAUUUCGAGCAAUUUACUCAUUCUCUAGUAACCUGUUGUCUGUUCUGUCCAUUCACUUAAAAAUAUCAUCAUCCAUAAAUUUGUUCAAUGUCUUUCAAUUUUCCCUCCACUUAAGUUUGAUGGAUAAUUUUAUCAGAUUCAGAUAAAGGAAUAAUGGGUCGUUCACAUGAAUUGGAAAAACACAAUUUGUUAUACUUGAUGUCAAACUACACAAAUCUCUGAACCGGAAAGCAUCAACUGUUAAAAUACAAGAGCAAUGGGUUGUACAAGAAGAAACAUGAAGAAAAGGAACACAUAAAUGAGUGAAAGGGUAAGAGGUUGUGGGUUACUUAAAAAUUGAGUUUUACCUCAUUCAGAUCUGUGAUUUGUUUUUGGUGGGAGAGGUUGCGUUGGCAAAACAGGAGAAGCAAUUGAAGAGGUGUUGUUGGUUUCUGGCGAUGGUGUACAUGAGGAGGGAUGAUGAAGAGCCAAAGCAAAACUAUGAUGUGGAUGAUGAACAGUGAUGAUGGUCUAUUAAUUAAUAAUUUCUUCAAUAUUAUUAUUUACAUGUUCAAUUGAAAUGUUGAUGUGGCUUGUCUCACGAGAGUUGUGCUAAUUAUCAAGCAGGCUCGACAUAAGAUCCA